rfam:Lasius niger Lnig_2.1_39481, whole genome shotgun sequence.
ACUUAGCUAAAUCGUUUGGUUCAAAACAUUUGCUUGCUGUCUUGGCAUAACAUCAAAAAUGCAUAAACAUCGCAAAAUAAUUGUUAUAAUAAAAUGGCUAUGACGAUGGUUUUAGUA